UGGAGUGUGAGGCCGGUCACAGCCUCCCUAUUCAUCUAUUUCUCUUAUCUAGGCCUGUGUUUCCGCCUACUAUUCUGGAGUGUGAAUUCAUUACACUUUGUGACACAAAAAGGGAAGGGGAUGGGGAAAAGGGACCAACUAACCUUACACCCAUUAAAAACCUCACCACUUUUCCACGACUUGGCUCUAUCUAAUCCUACACCAGGCCAACAAACCUGCGAGGACGAGACACUAUCAUUAAACACACCUUGUAAAUCUUCUGCAGUAAAAUCUCGUACACCCAAGUACUUCUCUGUAGCUGCCACCACAACAUAUAUUUUAUGUGAUUUACGUUCCAUUUCUGUGGUACAGUUGAUAACCAUGGCUAUGCCUCACUCUCUGUUGGCCUCAGUUUCCUCACAGGGAUCCUCUCAGGAUCUCUACCCAUCUUCCUCUCUUCACUGUCUCAGCAUACCACACCUUCUGUACUACUCUGAUCCUGGCAACUUCAGCCUGCCUUUCUCUCACUGGAAACUUCUGAUCCUCAGCAUCAUGGGCUUAAACAAGCGCUAUAACAUGGAAAUAUGGCCGCCCGGCAUGGGAACUCUAAUCCUAAAAAGGUUUCACCGGUGGGAGGCGCCUGAUUUAAUUUUCUCACAGGUGAGAUGCAUAAAACAGGUAAGAUGAGGAUCGACGCCACUUCUGCUUCGUUUGUCAUCGGCGUUGAGGUAUUCACAGUGCUGUAAAAUGGGUUCCAAACUUGAGAGUGCAAUGGAGGGGCUAAUUCGAGUGUUCCACUCAUACUCCUCAAAAGAAGGGGACAAGUACAAGCUGAGCAAAGUUGAGCUGAAGAAUCUGUUGCAGGGUGAACUGAGUGACUUCCUGGCGGCAAGUAAGGACCCUAUGGUAGUAGAGAAGAUCAUGAGUGAUCUGGAUGAAAACAAAGAUGGCGAGGUGGACUUUCAGGAGUUUGUCAUCUUGGUUGCUGCGCUGACCGUGGCCUGUAACGAGUUCUUUGUAGAGAGCCUGAAUGAAUGAGUUUGGAAACAGUCUGUGACCUCGGCUUUCUACUCAUUAUUCCUUGUUAAUAAAACAAACAUGUAUGCUUUAAUUUAUUUGUACUUUUUGACAGAAACCGGCAAAGGUUUCAAUAUUGUCAC
rnacentral:lncRNA from 1 species